GACGAACGCUGGCGGCGUGCUUAACACAUGCAAGUCGAACGGUGAAGCCCUUCGGGGUGGAUCAGUGGCGAACGGGUGAGUAACACGUGAGCAACCUGCCCCUGGCUCUGGGACAACCACUGGAAACGGUGGCUAAUACCGGAUACGACCCGCCUCGGCAUCGAGUGUGGGUGGAAAGUUUUUCGGCUGGGGAUGGGCUCGCGGCCUAUCAGCUCGUUGGUGAGGUGAAGGCUCACCAAGGCGACGACGGGUAGCCGGCCUGAGAGGGCGACCGGCCACACUGGGACUGAGACACGGCCCAGACUCCUACGGGAGGCAGCAGUGGGGAAUAUUGCACAAUGGGCGAAAGCCUGAUGCAGCGACGCCGCGUGAGGGAUGACGGCCUUCGGGUUGUAAACCUCUUUCAGCUCCGAAGAAGCGAAAGUGACGGUAGGAGCAGAAGAAGCACCGGCUAACUACGUG
rnacentral:rRNA from 1 species